rnacentral:tRNA from 1 species
UCCCUAGUGAUCCAAUGGUUAAGACUCCACACUCUGAAUGCAGGGGACCCAGGUUCAAUUCCUGGUCAGGGAA